ACAGGAAGAGAAAGCUACAUAGCAAAUGUUGCACUGCUUUGGUACCACGUCUUAGUGACCUCUGGGUAAGGCAGACUUCAGAUGAUAAGGAAUUUCUCACUUUUCUAUUGAAGUUCAGAUCAUUCUCAAGUGUUCAUGAGACCAAACAGCACAGUGAGAUUUAAAAAAAAAUAAAUCAAACUCCUGAUUUCUGAUCAAAACACAACUUGGUACCCAAAGCACUGCACACCUCGCAUCAUGGCGUGAAGGUACUCAUAAGGGCUAUUCUGCAUACAAAUGGACAAGCUGUAGCACCACAGUACAAAAACCCAUCAUUGAGUAUUUGAUUCCUAGUUCAACAAAAGGCACCCAAUUCCAGGUUUGUAUUUAAUAUUUUUUCUUGUGAUUAAAAAGAUAAAUGCAUAUUGAAUGCUUCAUCCAGAGCACACAUACAGAUGCUCAGUUGACUCACAGCAGAUGUUGACAGUCUGUGGAUGCCACAAACGUUAUCCGCCAUGCAGCAGCAAAGGCAAAAGAUGCACCUGCCACCAACAGUUGCUACCAACAACCUUCUACUUCUCCCUUAGUCAUCUGCCUGAGUUCAGGGAAAGCUUUGAGGACAAAGGGCCAAAGUAACAUUAAACAUGGACAGACAUAUGGAAAACACCUUGUAGGAUAAAAGAUGAAGAACUAGUUCAUUUCCCUUACAAAAAGGAAAGUUGGUUUUCUUCUCCUUUUAAUGCUGACAGGCAAUAAAAUUAGCACUUGAGAUUCACCCAGAAAGUAAAUCUAUUUGUAACCAGUUAAAGACACAGAUGCAGAAGGCAUUACUUCUCAAAUUAUAUAACGGAAAAGAGAUGGAGGAACAUAGAAAUUCUACUGGUCUUAAAGAAAGGAAAGGAAAGAAAUGGGGCAGAUGAGGAAAAACUGCAGUAUGAGAGAAUGCAUUAUUUGAAUUUAGUUGUACCGUUCACUGGCUAAAGGGAGGGAUUUUAUUUGAUUACAAUCUACAGUAAGCUUUGCCAAUUUGUGUGCAAUUGACAUUUUUUUCCAGAACAAAAACUUAACCAUUGAUGACUAUUUGGAUUGAUACAAAAAGCAAAGCUCAGAACAGCCUUAACCACUAUCAAAGUCAAGUUCUACCUACUAAUGUAAAAUAGCUCAAAAUGGUUUUCAAAAAACCACAGCAACUAGCAUUCAUCACAACAAAUUCAGCUUCAAUUACAGAUGCUUUUUACAAGGGUGGAUAGUGAUAGGACAAGGGGGAAUGGUUUUAACUGAGACAGGGGAGGUUUAGGUCAGAUAUUAGGAGGAAGUUUUUCACACAGAGGAUGGUGACACACUGGAACAGGUUGCCCAAGGAGGUUGUGGAUGCCCCAUCCCUGGAGGCAUUCAAGGCCAGGCUGGAUGGGCUCUGGACAGCCUGAUCUGCUGGUUGGCGACCCUGCACACAGCACAGGGUUGAAACUCGAUGAUUUUUGAGGUCCUUUUCAACCCAGACCAUUCUGUGAUUCCAUGAAAGGAACAUUGGAAGAAUGCUUCAAACAACACUAAGUACAGAAGAGGCAAAAAGGCCCACACUGCCUUCCAGAGCAGAAAGGAGAAAGGGAGGGAGGGGAGAGAAAAGCAGAAGUAAUGCUGAAAUUACACUCUCCCUGCUGUAGCUACAAGAUUCUACAAUCUACAAUUCUGCAGUCUGUGUGUUGACACCAUAGCCCAGAAUUACAUACAGCUAUUCCAGCUCUACUACAUGCCUAUAAGUAACAGCAAAAAAACAAUAAAUAUAGCACUAUCUGGGACUGGAAAUGCAAAGAACAUCUGAGAGCCUGCUACUACUAUUAAGUACUGCUGCUACACACCAAAAUCACAACAUCCAUUUUGAUAAACUUGUCAUUCCUUAAAAAAUUAUCUGGAUAUAAUGCAACAUCUCCCCAUAUUUUUCACUUGGGACAGGACAACAAAGUGCUCUUUAGAGUAGAUAAUAAAAACCAAAAAUCCCACUAUUUCACACAUUACAUUCAGAGCAUCACUGUACAAGAUGCUUUUAGCGACCAACUCACAUGCAUUUGAACGUAUCACGCUGUAUUUCUUAAGAACUGGACACUGAAACUUGCUUUGACACACUGUUUCAAGACAAAGCCCACACUGAAAUAAAAUUUCCCAAAUGCCACAGUUUCUGUCCUUAACACAAGUCUGCAUUAUCUAACUUGCUUUGGAUUGAAGGGAAGGGCAGUAAUAAAAUGUAGUUAUUCUGCUGCAUAGAAAAAGGUGUUUUAAUUUGAAAGAGCAGUAACUUGGCAUGAGUUUGAUCAAAUAUUUAUUAUACUCUUUCCCAAGUAACUUUAGAUAAUUUUCCAGGCAGUUCAAACCUUCUUUAUAACCUCUCAACGUCAUUAUCUCACUUGAAGAUUUCAUUGGGCCUCUUUAGCAAGGUACAGCAGCAGGAAGUCUGGCUGUGGCCACUCUUCAAUAAAAGUCUGUUCCACCCAGAAGUGUGAAGAGCAUCUCCAGUUACUCAGCUUUAGGAUCACAGCUAGAUGCAAGUAGAAUUAAUUUUACCUUGCUCGUUUUGUACACAGAUGCACGUUGAGUCUAACAAGCAGUUAAUUCAGUCUGAUUUGCUGGUAGUAUCAUUUCCUCCAGUUUCAAACACAGUUUUAUAGUUUAAACUUGACUGUACAAAGAACUUUUUCUCAGGGCAGUGAAAGGGGAAUAUGAAGGUAAGAUCGUGAAAAAAUUCUUUCUGUUGACAAGAAAAAUUUCAAGGCACAAAAUGUUGAGAUGAAUAUCAAGAUUCAAAUUGUGAGCACUGAGCUGUGAACCUCACCACUCUGUAAAACAGAUGAGCAACUCAUGCAAUGGCAGCUCAGUUUGCUGACCAAUCCCAAGUUCACAUGCAUGCUUUAAGACUUCCUUCAUCCUUACAGUCAAUAUUUAUAUUUAAUGAUAAUAACUGUUUUCACCCUUUUAAGAAACAUAUAGAAAAUAAAGCAAAGGGCUCAUCUUCUCUGUUUAUUUUAGGUCUAAUCUCUGCUAUGUGCAAACAUAACGUUGGUACACGUACUGCAGUACUCUGCAUCCCGAUGGGCCAUAAGGCCACUGAGAAAUCACCUCUGAGGAACACUGGACAGAAAAACAACCCCAGACCUUCCACCCAUGCUGCAUAUCACUUAUCGCCACUCGCAGCUCAAGAGACCUGCCAGAACCGGGGGCAGAGAACCAAACAAGGUCUCUUCCAAGUCCGCAGCUGUGACAGGCCCUCGGGCUGCUUUGUAGAAGCACAGAUUCCCGUAGCCCCCUCCCUCAAUGCAUUUUGCACCUACGAAAAACAAACCAACACACACCCGUGCCUGCAAGGACGAUAUUUAGAGCAUCUACAGCGUGGGUUGCUCCCUUCCCACACGGGUUUCCACCUCGCAGCUCCCGCCGCCACCUAUCCCCUCCCACCCGGACACGGCGGGGCCCCCGCGCUCCGCACCGCCCUCAGCGCUCCCACACGAUGACACAGCACUGCCGGGCUGCGCGUCCCCUCCUGCCUGACCUGGCGCUCUCCGAGCAGCGAGGACCCGGGGACGCGGGCCGCUGAUGCAGCGGGUACGGCCGUGUCCCCGCGGGGCUCUCGGAGGCACGGCACGGUACGGCACAGCAAGUUAGCAUAACAGAGAGAAGCACUGGCAUUUUAUGUUUCCUGGCCGUCGUGCAAGCUGGAGUCUUUUAAAUGGAAACCAAGAGUGUGAUCACUGUGGUUCACAGGGAAAGAAUGACUUUUGGGAGAAACUGCUCAAGUCUCUUAGGUCCGGAUCAACCAAGCAAAUCAAGGAGAAGACGAGUGCAGCUGAAUAGCAAGGAGUGUUAAGGGACCACCACUGGUGCAAGGCUCAUUUCUUGUCGUGCCUCAAAAAGCUAUUAAAGGCAAUUGUCGUGCUGGACAAACCAAGCGCUGCAAUCCGGAUGUGCCAUCCUAUUGGCGCGCCCGACAUCGCCUCCUCCACCCCUCUCUGACAUGAAUUUAAUGCAGGUGCAGACACAAGCCUCGCAUAAGGGAGCAAUUUUCUGAUUCAUUCAUGUAAGACCCUGAGGGAGAGUUGGAACAAGAUGUACAAAGAUGUUGAUACAGAAAUGCAUUAAGGAGAUUUGAAUCAAGCUGCCACUGCAGGAGCAACCCAACCCUGCCUCCUGCCUACUGCCUCCUGCAGCUGCAACGUGUCACAUGCUGUCUUAGAGCCAAGUAAAUAGCAGCCAAACAUGACUACAUGCAGUCAGCUUGUUGGACUGGUCAGAACUCAUAUCCUGCUCUCUCCUAACCCUCUUCCCCGCAUCAGCCUUCUUCUUCCAUCAGGUAAGAUAUGGGAUACUUGUACCUUCUGGAUCCUGCUACCAUCCAUCCAGGAAACCACACC